rnacentral:rRNA from 1 species
UGGGGAAUUUUGGACAAUGGGGGAAACCCUGAUCCAGCCAUCCCGCGUGUGCGAUGAGGGCCUUCGGGUUGUAAAGCACUUUUGGCAGGAAAGAAACGUCGCGGGUUAAUACCCCGCGAAACCGACGGUACCUGCAGAAUAAGCACCGGCUAACUACGUGCCAGCAGCCGCGGUAAUAGCGUAGGGUGCAAGCGUUAAUCGGAAUUACUGGGCGUAAAGCGUGCGCAGGCGGUUCGGAAAGAAAGAUNUGAAAUCCCAAGAGCUUAACUUUGGAACUGGCAUUUUUAACUACCGGGCUAGAGUGUGUCAGAGGGGAGGUGGAAUUUCCGCGUGUAGCAGUGAAAUGCGUAGAUAUGCGGAGGAACACCGAUGGCGAAGGCAGCCUCCUGGGAUAACACUGACGCUCAUGCACGAAAGCGUGGGGAGCAAACAGGAUUCAGAUACCCUGGUAGUCCACG